rnacentral:rRNA from 1 species
UCGAGAAUCAUUCACAAUGGGGGCAACCCUGAUGGUGCGACGCCGCGUGGAGGACGAAGGCCCUAGGGUCGUAAACUCCUGUCAUCAAGGAGUAAGGACUUCAAGAGUAACUGCUUGGGGUAUUGAUAGUACUUGAAGAGGAAGGGACGGCUAACUUCGUGCCAGCAGCCGCGGUAAUACGAAGGUCCCGAGCGUUGUUCGGAUUUACUGGGCGUAAAGAGUCUGUAGGCGGUAAAGUAAGUCAGGUGUGAAAUCCCGAAGCUCAACUUCGGAACUGCACCCGAUACUGCUUUACUUGAGUAUUGGAGGGGCAUCUGGAAUUCUCGGUGUAGCAGUGAAAUGCGUAGAUAUCGAGAGGAACACUAGUGGCGAAGGCGAGAUGCUGGACAAUUACUGACGCUGAGAGACGAAGGCCAGGGUAGCGAAAAGG